rnacentral:tRNA from 1 species
GCAGUCGUGGCCGAGUGGUUAAGGCGAUGGACUUGAAAUCCAUUGUUGUUUCCCCGCACAGGUUCGAAUCCUGUCGGCUGCG